AAGGGCGCACGGUGAAUGCCUUGGCACUGGAAGCCGAUGAAGGACGCGACUAACCGCGAAAGUCUUCGGGGAGCCGUAAGUAGGCUUUGAUCCGGAGGUCUCCGAAUGGGGGAACCCAGCAUGUGCAGACAUGCUAUCCUUAAGUGAAUACAUAGCUUAAGGAGGGAACACGCAGUGAACUGAAACAUCUAAGUAGCUGCAGGAAGAGAAAGAAAUAUCGAUUUCCCAAGUAGCGGCGAGCGAACAGGAAAGAGCCCAAACCGGCAGAUUUAUCUGCCGGGGUUGUAGGACUGAGACAUGGCACUUCAGAGGAUAGCAGAAGCGUUUGGGAAAGCGCGCCAGAGAGGGUGAGAGCCCCGUAAGCGAAAUCCAAAGAAGGCCUAUCAGUAUCCUGAGUAGGGCGGGACACGUGAAAUCCCGUUUGAAUCCGCGAGGACCAUCUCGCAAGGCUAAAUACUAACCAGUGACCGAUAGUGAACCAGUACCGUGAGGGAAAGGUGAAAAGAACCCCGGGAGGGGAGUGAAAGAGAACCUGAAACCGUGUGCCUACAAGUAGUCAGAGCCCGUUAACGGGUAAUGGCGUGCCUUUUGUAGAAUGAACCGGCGAGUUGCGUUAGUCAGCAAGGUUAAGUCAGAAAAGACGGAGCCGUAGCGAAAGCGAGUCUGAAGAGGGCGAGCAGUUGGCUGACGCAGACCCGAAACCAAGUGACCUACCCAUGACCAGGUUGAAGGCGCGGUAAAACGCGCUGGAGGACCGAACCCACGUAAGUUGAAAAUUGCGGGGAUGAGUUGUGGGUAGCGGUGAAAUUCCAAACGAACUUGGAGAUAGCUGGUUCUCUCCGAAAUAGCUUUAGGGCUAGCCUCGCAAAGAGGAUGCUGGAGGUAGAGCUCUGUUUGGACUAGGGGCCCGUCAAGGGUUACUGAAUUCAGAUAAACUGCGAAUUCCAGACAUUUAUGUGCGGGAGUCAGACUGCGAGUGAUAAGAUCCGUAGUCGAAAGGGAAACAGCCCAGAUCACCAGUUAAGGUCCCAAAAUUCAUGCUAAGUGGAAAAGGAUGUGGAGUUGCGCAGACAACUAGGACGUUGGCUCAGAAGCAGCCAUCAUUCAAAGAGUGCGUAAUAGCUCACUAGUCGAGUGACGCCGCGCCGAAAAUUUACCGGGGCUAAGCAUGAUACCGAAACUGUGGAUGUGCAUUUAUGCACGUGGUAGGAGAGCGUUCUAGCGGCGGUGAAGCAUGACCGAGAGGACAUGUGGAGCUUCUAGAAGUGAGAAUGCCGGUAUGAGUAACGAAAGACAGGUGAGAAUCCUGUCCGCCGCAAGACUAAGGUUUCCUGGGGCAGGCUCGUCCGCCCAGGGUAAGUCGGGACCUAAGGCGAGGCCGAGAGGCGUAGUCGAUGGACAACAGGUUGAAAUUCCUGUACUGCACCGAAUCGUUAUGAGCGAUGGAAGGACGCAGGAGGCUAGCAGCGCGUGGUGCUGGAUACCACGUUCAAGCGUCAAGUCUGAGAGCGAGUCAAAUGCUUGCUCUCAUAAGGACAAGGCGUGAUGAGGAGCGAAAUUAAAGUAGCGAAGGCUGCGACGUCACACUGCCGAGAAAAGCUUCUAGCCAGAGACGGUGCACCCGUACCGCAAACCGACACAGGUAGUCGAGGAGAGUAUCCUCAGGUGAGCGAGAGAACUCUCGUUAAGGAACUCGGCAAAAUGGCCCCGUAACUUCGGGAGAAGGGGCGCUGGUCGCAAGAUCAGCCGCAGUGAAAAGGCCCAAGCAACUGUUUAUCAAAAACACAGGCAUCUGCAAAAUCGUAAGAUGAAGUAUAGGUGCUGACACCUGCCCGGUGCUGGAAGGUUAAGAGGAGAGCUUAGCGCAAGCGAAGGUUUGAAUUGAAGCCCCAGUAAACGGCGGCCGUAACUAUAACGGUCCUAAGGUAGCGAAAUUCCUUGUCGGGUAAGUUCCGACCUGCACGAAAGGUGUAAUGAUUUGGGCACUGUCUCAACGAGAGACUCGGUGAAAUUAUAAUACCCGUGAAGAUGCGGGUUACCCGCGACAGGACGGAAAGACCCCAUGGAGCUUUACUGCAGUUUAAUAUUGGGUAUCUGUCAAGCAUGUACAGGAUAGGUAGGAGCCGGAGAAGAUAGGACGCCAGUCUUAUCUGAGGCGCUGUUGGGAUACUACCCUUGCUUGACGGAUGCUCUAACUCAGGCCUGUGAUCCAGGCCGAGGACAGUGUUUGACGGGCAGUUUGACUGGGGCGGUCGCCUCCUAAAGUGUAACGGAGGCGCCCAAAGGUUCCCUCAGAAUGGUUGGAAAUCAUUCGCAGAGUGUAAAGGUAAAAGGGAGCUUGACUGCGAGAGAGACAACUCGAGCAGGUACGAAAGUAGGGCUUAGUGAUCUGGUGGUACCGCAUGGAAGGGCCAUCACUCAACGGAUAAAAGCUACCCUGGGGAUAACAGGCUUAUCUCCCCCAAGAGUUCACAUCGACGGGGAGGUUUGGCACCUCGAUGUCGGCUCGUCGCAUCCUGGGGCUGAAGUCGGUCCCAAGGGUUGGGCUGUUCGCCCAUUAAAGCGGCACGCGAGCUGGGUUCAGAACGUCGUGAGACAGUUCGGUCCCUAUCCGUCGUGGGCGCAGGAAAUUUGAGAGGAGCUGUCCUUAGUACGAGAGGACCGGGAUGGACGCACCGCUGGUGUACCAGUUGUCUUGCCAAAGGCAUCGCUGGGUAGCUAUGUGCGGACGGGAUAAGCGCUGAAAGCAUCUAAGUGCGAAGCCCCCCUCAAGAUGAGAUUUCCCAUUUCUUCAAGAAAGUAAGACACCUCAGAGACGAUGAGGUAGAUAGGCCGGGAGUGGAAG
rnacentral:rRNA from 1 species